GAAAACUCGAUUCCAGUGCCGUCUCUGCUUACCGGGAACUAACGCACCCUCAUCCAAAAUGAUGAAAAAAGAGUAGAUGGUUAUAGACUGUAAGAACUGGAAGGAACCUUGGAAUUGGUCUUGUCCACAUCCCUCAUGAUAAACAAGAAAAGCCGAAGGAACGAAACGCAGACAUCCUUUCCCCAUCACUGUUCCAUUUAGUACAGGUUGGCAACAAGAAAUUAAAUGGGAAUUUUGGGGAAGCUGCGGGUGACACUCGAAAGCCAGCAGACAACAGAAAAAACUUAGAAACUAGAGAGCCUCUGACCAAACACUUAACCCAAAUUUGACAUUAAGGUACAAUAAACACCCCAGAAAAGGAAAAA